ensembl:lncRNA
GAUGGAGAAUUUCUGAAGCUGUUUGAAGGAGUGAAGCUCCUGAUCUAGUAGUACGUAUAAUACAAAAUAAUGAAAAAAUAACACUGAACAUAUUUUUUCCCUGAAGGGACCCAUAUGCACAACAUUUCCGUCUUGGAUUAUCUGUGUACUUUUUCUCUCUGCUCUGGUGUAUCAUGUCCUUUGAGCCAUGAAAUGUAACAGGGAAUUAAGAAGACUGUUCAGAAAGAGGCUUCCUGUGAACCCUUGAGUGUGUUUUCAGGUUUUUCUGCCUUUCAUCCCAGACUUCCUGUAUGUGUGAGGUUGUUCUGGUGUUAGUAAGAAGGAAAAAUGACCUGAUGUGACAAUGCCACACAGGUACUUAAAGGGUUAAUACUCCAGUUCCGUGGAUUGACAACUUUCCAGAUACCUGCUUCUCAAAAGAGAAGAACUACAUAUACCAGAGGACCUCACAGUCAGAGAAGGAAGAUAUGUCACGGAAAUCACGGGAUCUCUGUCUCACUGCCUAGCAGAGGGGUGUGUGCUUCCAAGCCGUGCACCUUUAUUCAAGAAAAUUCUCUGUUCCCUACAAUCUAACAAAAUCCUCUCUGUUCAAGCUAUGUGUUGAAGCAAUUGAUUUCCAGACACAACUUCAGUUCUGUCAGGCACAGAGGGGACUCCCUCAGUGAAGCAGGUUCUUCAGUGCAGAGGUUUAGUUGAGAUAACCUGCGCAUUCAAGGCUGUGCCCUUUGGAGAAGUCCUUCAGACUGUUUAAUGAAGCAAACAACUGGGAAAGGACUUUUUUCUUGCAGCUUCUUAUCCAUUCUUUAAAACCACAGUGUUUAACAACACACUAAUGAAUCCAGUUUGUUGGGUGGGAAUACAGUAUUUUUCAUUACAG